rnacentral:lncRNA from 1 species
GAAGGUCUCUCUUAUACUUUUUCGUUAACUUGAAUAUUAUUGCAUCCCUUACACUUCCUAAUAUCAUGAUUAUUGAUAUACAUCAUGUUAUCCUUCUUCAUAUUCAUGCGUUUUUGCACCUUAUUGCUCUUCUGGUGAAUCUAAGAUGAGCUUUUAUUAUUGAUAUUCAAAUGUAAGUUGACCAUAAUGUUAGCACAUAU